UUUAGAUUUGUUUGGCCAUAAUGAUAAAGUUCUACUCAUGCACAUAGCUCAAUUAAAUGUAAGUGAAGAAAUAAAAAUAAUAUCGAAAGAACAUACAAUAUGCACAUCCCUAUCAACUGCGACGAAACGAAAAGGCGUUAAGCAACAGCUACACCGCACUGACGUCAAAACUUCAUACUGGCAACUGUUGUCACUUGCAAACGAACGGAAGAAAAGAGAAACGGCACAUCAGCCACAGGAUUGCUCAUAAAGUGAACAGAAGUGACACUGCGUGGAUGCCGAAUUUGGCCUGAGUCCCACUGGAGUGCAACAUUGCGGUAGCUGGUGAGGGCGAAAAUUCCUACGGGAAUUAGUCCGAUCGGUUCAGGAAAAAACGGCUUUCGUGCGAUUUCCAACUGCUCGGCGGAUAGAUAGGCAUUCUUCAAGAUUGCGGGGAAAGUUCACUGGCCGCCGAAGCAACUCCGAUACGCAACCCGAUACGAUUCCACCUGGAGGACAAGGACAGGUCCGGAAGGAGCGCUUUUCCCUGGACAGGAUAGUUGCGGCAGGUCUAAGAAGGUCCACGCACGUGCACUUUUGAGAGAGGAUAAACACGAUUCUACGUGUGGAUGAACGAUUCCGUUUGGAAACCGGAUUGGGGAACCAACACCGACUCACGAAGGUUUACAACCACGUACGACCGCUAGACAGGGAGAAGAAAGCCCCUACGGAUUUCACGGUUGGAGGUACAUUUCGGAACCAAAAUCCCACAGGAUUCCGCAUCACACGUACGAAAAGAGCCCCAUUACCGGGUGAGUUGGAAGACGAGGCUUUGGCGAUGGCAGUGGCUAAUUGGCGUUGCCCUUAGGGCUCUUUCUUUUGGUUCUUCUUCCCUAAUCAGGAUUCACCUCAUCCGGG